UGUGGCUUAGUUGGUUAAAGCGCCGGUCUAGCGAAUACGGAGUUGUGGGUUCAAAUCCCACCA
rnacentral:tRNA from 1 species